AUGNNNGUCGAGCGGAUGANGGGAGCUUGCUCCUUGAUUCAGCGGCGGACGGGUGAGUAAUGCCUAGGAAUCUGCCUGGUAGUGGGGGGCAACGUUUCGAAAGGAACGCUAAUACCGCAUACGUCCUACGGGGGAAAGCAGGGGACCUUCGGGCCUUGCGCUAUCAGAUGAGCCUAGGUCGGAUUAGCUAGUUGGUGGGGUAAUGGCUCACCAAGGCGACGAUCCGUAACUGGUCUGAGAGGAUGAUCAGUCACACUGGAACUGAGACACGGUCCAGACUCCUACGGGAGGCAGCAGUGGGGAAUAUUGGACAAUGGGCGAAAGCCUGAUCCAGCCAUGCCGCGUGUGUGAAGAAGGUCUUCGGAUUGUAAAGCACUUUAAGUUGGGAGGAAGGGCAGUAAGUUAAUACCUUGCUGUUUUGACGUUACCGACAGAAUAAGCACCGGNNNNNUCUGUGCCAGCAGCCGCGGUAAUACAGAGGGUGCAAGCGUUAAUCGGAAUUACUGGGCGUAAAGCGCGCGUAGGUGGUUUGUUAAGUUGGAUGUGAAAGCCCCGGGCUCAACCUGGGAACUGCAUCCAAAACUGGCAAGCUAGAGUACGGUAGAGGGUGGUGGAAUUUCCUGUGUAGCGGUGAAAUGCGUAGAUAUAGGAAGGAACACCAGUGGCGAANGCGACCACCUGGACUGAUACUGACACUGGGGUGCGAAAGCGUGGGGAGCAAACAGGAUUAGAUACCCUGGUAGUCCACGCCGUAAACGAUGUCAACUAGCCGUUGGANUCCUUGANAUUUUANNGGCGCANCUAACGCAUUAAGUUGACCGCCUGGGGGAGUACGGCCGC
rnacentral:rRNA from 1 species